AUGGAUACCAGUCGGGUUCAUUACUGCUGAACCACAAAGGGAAUUCCUACAUGUCUCAUUUAUAAAGACCCAGCUCAGACCUUCUGGGAGGCUUUUCAUCCAUCCAGAUUAGCCUCUGAGGCUGGUGGUCACCUUCCUACUUCUAUGAUAGACUUUAUACCAGUGGGUCCUGAAGUUGGGUCUCUGUCAGUAACUAGAGACGGGCUUUCAGGCUCCCACACUCAGUCUAAUCCUCACAAUAACCCCGCUACCCUGUGGCUAAUGGGCGUGCGGGGAGGGGCUCAGCAGAGGGGAGGAAGAACUGCUCCAGGAUCUCAAAGCUAAGGGGCGGGGCCGAGGCUUGAGCCCAGUCCUGUGGGUCACCAGGGUCAGGCUCACCCCACCCUCAGGUCCACCCUCCCUGGGAGGACACUGGCAGGGCAGGGCAGGGCAGGCAGGGGCUGUGCAUCACUCGUUUAGUCUUUGAAAUGACCACCAUCUGUAUGAUGUCUAGACGCUCCCACGGUCUGGCACAAAAGCCCCCCAUCCACAAAGCCACCCCUGCGGCCACCUGCUGAGGACCACCUUCCUCCUGGUGGCUCAUGGCACUUAGAGCUCCGUGGGUCCCCAGCUUGCGCUUCCCCGGUCAGCCAGGGUGUGUGGUGGGGGCAGCGCCUGGGCUUUAUUUUACUUCUCUUUUUCCUCUCCAUUUUCUUGUCUGCCCCUGAACAGACUGCAGUGCUUGGCAUGGAGAUGGGGCUUAGCAAACAUUUGUUUACAUGAAAUAAUUGUGUUUCUUUGGGGUCCAGCUCCUUCCUGUUUAUCAUUCAGGGCUGGCCAGAGAGAUCAGGUUCCAAAAAGCCAGAGGGUCUCUCAAGCACAGCUCUCUGGGCUCAGAAAGCCUUGCUGCUUCCUCCUUCCCUGGGAUGGAGAAUUCACUGUGGUGUCACCUCAGUGACUUAGUGACAACCUGACCUCCUGGAUGCAUCUUCCCCUAAAACACCCCUCUGGGUUCCACACCCACCUCUAGGCUCCAAUCACAAAGAAUGGCUGGUCCUAAAUCCAUCAUUUGCCUUCCUGCCUCUGGGCCUUUGCUUUGCUGUGCCUGCCCCCUAGAAUCCCUUUCUUUUUUUCUGUUUCUUUUCUUUUUUUACUAAAGUAUAGUUUAUUUACAAGGUUUUUUCAGUUUCUAUUGUACAACAACAGCAUCCCUUUCUUCACUAGUUCUGUGUGCAAAAAUCUUAGCCAUUCUUCAAAGUUCAGCCCCAGUGCCACCUCCCGGGUGGAAGUUUUGGCGUAGCCCUUCCAGGUAGAAUUCCUUUCCCCUCUUCUUCUGAAACCCCCCUCCCCUGUCUAUGCCACUGUCUGAUCCCACUCCAGUCUGUACUACAGUGUGGUACGUAGGUGUCUUCUCAGAACCGGAUGGAGAUGGGGCCCCAUGCCUCAGCCUCCUCUGAACCUCCCCAUGCUUGACACGCAAUGGAAGACCACCCCUUGGGCGGCAACAAGACCAGAGCAUAGAGAAACUACAGCUGCUUGGCAUCACGAAAAGGAUGUGAACUCUGGAAUCGAGGAAGACCUGGGUUUGAACCCUGCCUAUGUCACUACUGUGUGACUUUGGGCAGGCCUGUUGCUGGCUGAACCCAGGACAUUGCCUGAAAAGGAGCUUCAGUGAGACAAAUCUUUAGACGGUAUCUGAAAUUCUUGCCACUCAGCGGGACCUUAAACCCCUAUGACUCCCCCUUGGUGGGUCCAGCUCUGCCUUUGGGGGUCCCCACGCUCUACAUCUUUGGAAAUCUGAAAACACUGCCCAGGUUCCCUCAUGGGAGUGAAACAGGAAGAAUCAGAACACAAGGGAUGGAAAGAAACGGUAACGAUUUCGCCCAGCGGACAUCAUCCCAGCUACAGAUCCUGCACCCAGGCUCUUGGGGCCCACCACAGAGCUCCUGAGGCCCCAGAGAAAGCGUGGGGCACUUCAAACAGCUGUUAUGACAAGGAGGACGGGGCCCAGCCAAGCACUGCCUUGCUCCCUGACACCACCAAUGACACGCUAAAGCAUGUGGCACACAUUGCUGAUUCCGGUGGGGACCUUAUCCUUCGUUUCUGAGCAGCCUCACUUCUGGGUUCACACAGGGAACCAUGGCAGCACGUCAGCAACCCAGUUAAGCUGUUUCAACUCAUCCUUACUGCCUGAAAGGUGGCCCAUCCACCUCACUCCACCUGCACUUUGGGCUGGGAAACAGGAGGAUGCUCCUCACUGGCCAACGCCACACCCGACGGGCUCUGUCCACGAACGUGGGGAGGGAUGCGGUCAAGACUAAGGGGUGGGGCUCACAGCACCCCUCCAGCCUGGGUGAAACAGCCUCCCUCUACGCUCCAGAAAUCAAAACUGAGCCAAAAGCUUCUUGAGGAAAAGCACAACCAGGAUCCACUCCAGAGCAGGUCCCACAACUGAUGAGGGCCUGCCUGUCUUCUAUCACACUGAAUACAGCCAAGAAACUUGAGAGCAGAUGUCCAGUUUCACUUCUGAAUGAAGAAAGCAAGCUCUUAAUCUUCUGCAGAGGAUGCCAAGGCCUGACUCCAGUGUGGGCUCAGGGGUGGCCAUCCGUCUAGAUGAGGCCCCAGACAGGGCACGUUCCUUUCAGCGGCUACUGACUCCUAAGAGGCCAGCGGUGGCUGAAAGACGGAGGCUGGGAUGCUGUGAUCAGAUGCCCCCUCGUCAAACCUUUUUCUUGCUUUGAUCAAAACACCCGCUGUAGGGCCCAAGCAAAGAUGGGGGAAAGGAGAGGGUCCGGCAUCGAGGCUGCUCUCAGCAAGUCUACUGUUUCCAGAAGAGCUAUAUCCGGCAUCUGAAGCACCAUGACGCUCUGCAGCAAAGGGGCUCCUGCAGCACCCGGGAGGGCUGAGGCAGGAGGAGAGAUGACAUUGAACUGACAGCUCUGGCAACUAGAAACGGGAGGGGACAGGAUUCCCUGUGUAGGACCAGGGUGCGCCAAGGCAGUGCUGCUGGAGAGAACAUGCUCGCAGCCUACUUUCUCGUCUAUUUGGUAAAAUACAUAUAACAUUUGCCAUUUAACCAUCUCUAGGUGUGCAAGCCAGUGGCAUUACAUACAUUCACACUGGGGUUGUGCAACCAUCCCCGUCCUCCAGCCCCAGAAUUCUUCAUCAUCCUAAACCGACACUGUUCCCCAUUUACUCCCCAGCCUCUGACGACCACCCUUCUACUUUGUGUCUCUAGGAAUCUGACUGCCCAGGUACCUCAGAUAAAUGGAACCACAUGGUAUUUGGCCUUUGGUGACAGUCUUAUUCCACUUAGCAUAAUAUUUUUAAGGUUUUCCCAUAUAGAGUAGCCUGUGUCAGAAUUUCACUUCUUUUUAAGCUUGAGUAAUAGUCCAUCGUGUCUAUGCAUGGUUUACUUUUGCUGGAGUUCCAGGUCCGGGGAGGUAGGGCUUGAUACAAAAGCAGUGAAGCUGGUGAGAGUGAAAUGUUUAAAGGGGCUCAUGAGGCAUUCUCCAAAUUGGAGAACUCGUGGCAUAAAGAUAAGGUACAAGCCCCUGGGAGCCAUGUACCUUGAAGAGCAGCUGACAAAACGUGUGAAUGAUGUCAGUAAGAACACUUUUUUUAAAAAAUACUUUUUAGGGCUGCAGCACAGCA